GCUCCCGAGCACUCCAUCGACCUCAUCUAGCUCCCAGCUCUCUCCCGAGCCUCUCAACCCCUCGCCGGAGCCCCUCCUGUCCUCCCGCUGCCACCACGGCCAUCGCCGGCCGCCGCUCAAAUUCGAGCAGUCCGGCCACUCCCCCUCACUUAGCUUCCACCAGAGGAGCCCUCUCGAUCCCCUGAUCCUCCCCACAUCUUCCUUUCCCCUCCGGAGUAACCACAUCGCCGACUGCAUCCAUGGCCGACGACCUCCUCCGCUGGCGUCCCUUCUGCUGCUCCCUCCUUCCUCCUUGGAGGUCGUGCCAUGCACCAGUCGAUGCGCCCCGUUCCGCUGAUCACCCCAGUAGGCGGAGCGGCGCGAGAGGUGGCCGGAGUCGCCGGGGAUCCUCGCCGGGGCUGUCGGGCUCGCUCCCGCCUCUGCACGCCGUCGGGGUGGAGAAGAAGGAAGAGCAGGGAGGAGAGAGAAAGAGGCAGGCCCACCUGUCAGCGAGACAAGUCCCGGUCCCGCCUCUGCCACGUCACUUAAGUGAAAGCGGAAUUCCUAGAAUACACUUUCCAGCUGACCGCCGGCCGAAUCCUCUAGUUUGUGAACGUUCACCCGUUAGUAACAGAAAAGCAUAUAUUUUUAUUUGUUUUUCUGCUAACGAACGAACGGCUGUAACUUUUUGCUCAAGACUCCGAUUGAGUCCCUUUCGAGAGAGAAGUGUUUCCGGCAAAUCUUUCCGCGAUCUUUCCGCACAUCUUCCCGAUGGUUUCUUCGUCCCCAGGCAAGCCACAACACCCACUUGCAUGAUGGCCAUGCAGUAGCCAUGGUUUUCAACUUGAAUAUUUAAUAAAUGUCUGCUUGUUUUGAUACGGUUAUCGUUGUUUUGGUGAUGCUUAUGGAUUUGUGUUCACUAUCAUGCUAUGCUUUCUUGCACUUUGUUAUCAUGAACUACUUGCUAGUAUUACUUUCAUAUUUCCAUGCUUGAUAGUAGCACAUGUUGGGUUGUUCAUUGAGGGAGUCCUGGACUAAGGGGUCCUCGGGCGUCCGGCUUGUUGGACAUGGGCCGGACUUAUGGGCUGUGAAGAUACAAGAUCGAAGACUUUCUCCCGUGUCCGGAUAGGACUCUCCUUGGCGUGGAAGGCAAGCUUGAC